rnacentral:rRNA from 1 species
GUAAAGCGGCGCACGGUGAGUAACACGUAGGUAACCUGCCCCCCUAGUCUGGAACAACUAGAGGAACUCUAGCUAAUGCCGGAUGAGACCACGAUCCCCUUCGGGGGGUUGCGGCCAAAGAUGGCCUCUACUUGUAAGCUAUCGCUGAGGGAUGGGCCUGCGGGCCAUUAGCUUGUUGGUGAGGUAACGGCUCACCAAGGCUGUGAUGGCUAGCUGGUCUGAGAGGAUGACCAGCCACACUGGGACUGAGACACGGCCCAGACUCCUACGGGAGGCAGCAGUGGGGAAUAUUGCGCAAUGGGCGAAAGCCUGACGCAGCGACGCCGCGUGGGUGAUGAAGGCCUUCGGGUCGUAAAGCCCUGUCGCAGGGGAAGAAUAAGCAUCGGUAUAAUACGCCGGUGCCCUGACGGUACCCUGCAAGAAAGCACCGGCUAACUCCGUG